UUGGCAGAUGAGAUAGGGGCUUGCAUGGCCAAGGCAUUGGAUGUGAUAAUGGAGGAUACUGAGAAGUGGGCAACCAUGGCCAUGGAACAACAUAUUUGGGAAGCUGCAUACAUCGUUGGAAAAGUGAAGGGGAUCACGGAAAACUUGAGAUGGAUGUUGACAUUUAGCACAAUGGAGGCUAAUAAGAAUGCUUCAGCAACUUCCACUGGAUUUCAUACUCUCAGAAAGCGCUCAUCUUUUCAGAUUGGCUAGCAUUACCAAAAGAUAGAAUAACGGGCAGAAUAGCUUUUCCCGUCUGAUUAUGUGCGUGGAAUAUAUAAUUUGUUUUGUCAAAAUAAAGUAUAAGGCUGUUGGGCAUGAACAACAGGUAAAAUAGUUUUGUCAAUAUUGAUAUGGUAUGAUGGUUAAGUUGUGGUGUUAUUGUUCACAUCAUCAAGGUUCAAAUUCUGUUGGAAUAUUAUUGUUGAAUAUUUAUAUUGGGGAUGAGGUUCCUCAUUUGUGAUCUCUCAUUAGUUUAUAGCUUUGAAUAAAAAAGAUAUAGUUUUAGAGUGAA